rnacentral:rRNA from 1 species
UCGAGGAUCUUCGGCAAUGGGCGCAAGCCUGACCGAGCGACGCCGCGUGUGCGAUGAAGGCCUUCGGGUUGUAAAGCACUUUCGGGGGGGAACAAAACAAUGAGUGAUCCCCAAAAGAAGCACGGGCUAAGUUCGUGCCAGCAGCCGCGGUAAGACGAACCGUGCGAACGUUGUUCGGAAUCACUGGGCUUAAAGGGCGCGUAGGUGGUUUGCCAAGUCGGGGUUGAAAUCUUUCGGCUUAACCGGAAAAGUGGCUUCGAUACUGGCAAGCUGGAGGGAGGUAGGGGCGGAUGGAACUUCCGGUGGAGCGGUGAAAUGUGUUGAUAUCGGAAGGAACGCCGGUGGCGAAAGCGAUCCGCUGGACCUCUUCUGACACUGAGGCGCGAAAGCCAGGGGAGCAAACGG